UUCGUCUUUUUUGGCAUAUCUUUACCUUUUUCUAACUCUUUUUCUGUCUCAGGGAAACGCACAAGAAUUCCAAUGUACCUAUGCUGCUGUGUAUCUGUGCAAAUGACAAAGUUUAUUCUGUUCUAUUUUACAUUGACGAAUCAGAACGCUGUAUACUGACAUCACCAACCAAUCAGCAGGCGCCUUCUUGUCACUCCAGGAAAUGCCAGCCAUGGUUUGUGUUUACUUGGUGUUGCGGUGAGAGCAGAGAUGAGCCGUGCCUCUUUUGCUCCAUGAAGCAUGUGAACAAAACUGAAUUCUACUCCAUGUUAGACAGUGGAUUUUGGCAGAGAUUUCCAUCAUCUCUAUACUUAUGGUCGGUUUGAGAUAAAAGCUACCGGAGUUUAUAUCUCUGGAUGUCGCGGUGCUCCCUGCUAUAGUUAGCCGGCAUCGUAGCUGCUAGUUAGCACGCAGCUAACUACCAUGCAGUGAAGCGGAGACGGCGACGUGAGCUUUUAUUGAUUUACUUUUCAAUCAUUGUGAACAUGCUCCGGCUGUUUUGUAAAGCUAAAUGUUAAUAUUUUUAUUCCCAUGUCACCUGCUGCUACAAAGUGGAUUGAAAUUCGGUUGCGUGAGCUGUGCUAACCUCCAUUAGCAAAGCUAUAUCCAGCCUUCUAUUCUGGCCGGGUCUUUUUGUUAUCCCAGUUUGUUGUCAGCGCUGGAUUUGUCUUGCUCUUGGAGUGGAUUUGUGCUGCUGUUCCACUGAACUACAGUUAGUGGCCGCAGAGGACAGCAGUAGUGGUGGUCCAACCCAACUAUUGAAUCUGACUGAACUGCUGUUCUUUCCUGUUGCUUCCACCUGGAGAUCUGGUAGGACUGGUCUUUACUAGAGACCCAGAGGAUUUAGUGGUGAACUGAGAAUCCUAACUCUCUGCCCCCCCCCCCCCCCCCCCCUUUUUUUUUUUUCUUUUUUCUUUUUUCAUUGGACUGAAAAAAAAAAAAAAAACAAACCUUCAUUUAUAACUGGUUACUGUGAAGUGUAAAUUGAUUGUAUUCUCUUGUUUUUUUUUUUUUUGUUUUCUGUUCAUAGAUAUUUCAUGUUUUCUAUGAGUUAUGCGCUCUAAUGUUCAACUGGAGCUGACGGGCUGUUCCAACUAGUCUGCCUCAAGGUUAAAAGUUACUAAAUUUCAUCUAACAAGCUAAAAGGGUUAAUCAGAUGAAGUGUGUGUUGUUAAAAAUAGAUCAUAAAUAGAUGAUACUUAUGUUCAUUUCAAUAAUAAAUAUGAAUUAGAUAGUGAUAAGUCAAUUACAAUAACAAAUAGACACUAACUGUAAAAAAAAAAAAAAAAAAAAAAAGCUCAUUUGAGUAGCAAACUAGUUAAAAUAGGGUUUUUAGUAUAAAGUGUGCAUA